GCUGGGUGAAGUGGCACAUGCCUGUAAUUCCAGCAGCUGGGAAGGCUGAGACAGGAGGAUCAUGAGUUCAAAGCCAGCCUCAGCAACCGUGAGGUGCUAAGCAACUCAGUGAGACCCUGUCUUUA
rnacentral:sRNA from 1 species